GAUAAACGCUGGCGGCGUGCAUUACACAUGCAAGUCGAACGAUGAGGCGAACGGGUGAGUCACAAGUGAGUAACCUGCCUUACACAAGGCGAUAGCCUUUGGAAACGAAGAAUAAUACCCUAUGGGGUAAGAUGGGCUUGCGUCUGAUUAGCUUGUUGGUGAGGUAACGGCGCACCAAGGCAACGAUCAGUAGCCGGCUUGGAAGAGUGUACGGCCACAUUGGGACUGAGACACGGCCCAAACUCUACGGGAGGGAGCAGUGGGGAAUUUUGCACAAUGGGGGGAACCCUGAUGCAGCGACGCCGCGUGAUUUGGAAGGCCUUCGGGUUGUAAAAAUCUUUUUUAUGGGAUGCAGUACCAUAAGAAUAAGGUCCGGCUAAAUACGUGCCAGCAGCCGCGGUAAUAC
rnacentral:rRNA from 1 species